AGUGAACGCUGGCGGUAGGCCUAACACAUGCAAGUCGAACGGCAGCACAGUAAGAGCUUGCUCUUACGGGUGGCGAGUGGCGGACGGGUGAGGAAUACAUCGGAAUCUACUUUUUCGUGGGGGAUAACGUAGGGAAACUUACGCUAAUACCGCAUACGACCUACGGGUGAAAGCAGGGGACCUUCGGACCUUGCGCGAUUGAAUGAGCCGAUGUCGGAUUAGCUAGUUGGCGGGGUAAAGGCCCACCAAGGCGACGAUCCGUAGCUGGUCUGAGAGGAUGAUCAGCCACACUGGAACUGAGACACGGUCCAGACUCCUACGGGAGGCAGCAGUGGGGAAUAUUGGACAAUGGGCGCAAGCCUGAUCCAGCCAUACCGCGUGGGUGAAGAAGGCCUUCGGGUUGUAAAGCCCUUUUGUUGGGAAAGAAAAGCAGCAGGAUAAUACCCCGCUGUUCUGACGGUACCCAAAGAAUAAGCACCGGCUAACUUCGUG
rnacentral:rRNA from 1 species